AAAGCUGCUCUGCUCGUGCCUCAGUGAGCUAGCUCUCAGUUCAGUUAGCAGCUACAGGCUUAAAACAACCGUCCAUCAGUCUGCAACAAGCAGCACACUCCUCAUUUCAGUUUCAAGACCAAAGCAGAGAAAUGGAUGUUCAGUCUCAAUGAUUGUUACAAAACAGGGUGUAAGGUGCUGUAGAAGUCCACUUUGUUCCCGUCCUGCUGAUCGUCUGUGAAGACAAAAGGAAGGAGGACUAGAGCUUCAGUGAAGUUAUAUGAAAGCAGACCGGGUCUGAAGUGUGAGCUGUGUGACGUCUGAUAAAAAUCCUCUGUCACUUGUGUCAGGGUCGACAUGACAGCAAGUUUGUAAAUCUGCAGGCUGCGUAAGCUGCUACAAACAUGACUCACAUACUUUUGUGAAUGUAGAAACAAGGUUUGGAAAAAGAAGAAGAAACUGUGGAAUACACAAGAUGUUUUCUGGUUGUGCAGCGUGUCCAGACGUUUUGGACUGGGGGGGGGGGGGGGGGGGGGCU